UACGGAGGGGACUAGCGUUGUUCGGAAUUACUGGGCGUAAAGCGCACGUAGGCGGAUUUGUAAGUCAGGGGUGAAAUCCCGGGGCUCAACCUCGGAACUGCCUUUGAUACUGCAAAUCUCGAGUCCGGAAGAGGUGAGUGGAAUUCCUAGUGUAGAGGUGAAAAUUCGUAGAUAUUAGGAAGAACACCAGUGGCGAAGGCGGCUCACUGGUCCGGUACUGACGCUGAGGUGCGAAAGCGUGGGAGCAAACAGGG
rnacentral:rRNA from 1 species